CGGACGGGUGAGUAACACGUGGGCAACCUGCCCUGCAGAUCGGGAUAACUCCGGGAAACCGGUGCUAAUACCGAAUAGUUUCUGGUUCCUCCUGGAACCGGACGGAAAGACGGUCUCGGCUGUCACUGCAGGAUGGGCCCGCGGCGCAUUAGCUAGUUGGUGGGGUAACGGCCCACCAAGGCGACGAUGCGUAGCCGACCUGAGAGGGUGAUCGGCCACACUGGGACUGAGACACGGCCCAGACUCCUACGGGAGGCAGCAGUAGGGAAUCUUCCGCAAUGGACGCAAGUCUGACGGAGCAACRCCGCGUGAGUGACGAAGGUUUUCGGAUCGUA
rnacentral:rRNA from 1 species